rnacentral:rRNA from 1 species
UCGGAAGUGGUUCCAAGAAAAGCCUCUAAGCUUCAGUCAUACGAGACCGUACCGCAAACCGACACAGGUGGGCAGGUAGAGCAUACCAAGGUGGACGAGAGAACCUCCGUCAAGGAACUCGGCAAAUUAGCCCCGUAACUUCGGGAGAAGGGGCACCCCGUGUAGCGUGAAGCGGCUGGCCCGUGGAGCGUGAGGGGGUCGCAGAGAGCAGGCCCAGGCGACUGUUUACCAAAAACACAGGUCCCUGCGAACGC